AACAAGACCUAUAAUUAAAUAAUAAUUACCAAAUACAAACGAAAAUGCUACGAUAGCGAAAAAAAAAUUCACGAACUAAACUCAUCAUCUGCCUCGACAAGAUCGAGAAGGCUGCUCCUAUUCCUCCCUACCACAGCAUAAGCCAGCAGUGACAUGGAGCCCCAGGUGCUAACAAAACUUGCACUAACGCAGAACAAAUCCUAGGCCUUGUUCAGUUCACCCCGAAAUUCAAAAACUUUUUAAAAUUCUCCGUCAAAUCAAAUCUUAUGUCACAUGCAUGAAGCACUAAAUAUAGAAAAAAUAAAAACUAAUUGCACAGUUUAUCUGUAAUUUACGAGACGAAUCUUUUGAGCCUAGUUAGUUUAUGAUUGGACAAUAUUGCCACAAACAAACGAAAAUGAUACAGUACCAAAUCCCGAAAUCUUUUCGGAACUAAACAAAGCCCUAGCCUAUAGAAUGGGAAACAGGUGACAGCACACUCAGACCUAGACCCAAACAACCAUGGUCCGAGAGAACCACGGGAGAGCAACGAGUGAAAUGUGAAAACUCUACCGACAACCCACUCUCCAGGUAUUGGGAAAACAAAAAACCCACUGCUCCAGUUGUACUCAUGUCAUUUUUUUUUUGAAACGGACUCCACGAUUCCUUUAACAAACAUGUCCAGACAAA
rnacentral:lncRNA from 1 species